UAUCCUAAUGCUGUUAUUGCAUACAGAAUUUUGUUAACCAUUCAUGUGACGAUUGCAUCUGUCGAAAGGAGCUUUUCUAAACUGAAGUUGUUGAAAUCCUACUUGCGUUCGACUAUGACACAAGAAAGACUGAAUGUAUUGGCAACAAUAGCACUUGAAAAUGAUGUCUUGGAGAAGAUUAAUUAUGAAGAUUUGAUCGAGGAUUUCAUAUCAAGAAAUACUAGAAGAACGCUGCUUUUUGGUAGAAAAUGA
rnacentral:rRNA from 1 species